rnacentral:lncRNA from 1 species
GAGGGCUUGAUUUAUUGUUUUGUUGAUUGUCUCACCUUAAGGGAGUGAAGGAGGAAAUGCAGAUUAAACUUAAAAAUGUGCCCUAUAUUCAUUAUUUCCCCCAGAGAGUCAGUUGUUAAACAUUAACCAAAACACAUCUGCAUCAGAGCCCAUUCAAUCUAAACCUCUCAUUUUUACAAAAGGGAACACUUGUGGUUUGACCUGUGUUUUCAAAGAGGAUCAGGGACAUCAUGUUUUGACUUGUCUAUGAGUUGGAUUUAAGUGAGGCAGAACUAAACAAAAUCAUCAAUCUCACUCUUUCUCCCAGAUUAUCAAAGUCCAGUGGCAAGACAAAAGUCAAGACAACUGUCAAUGUCCUGGAAUGCAAUAGACGACCUUGGUGUAUUUGAUGUCUGACCAAGCUCUAAGUCAUCCACAGGGCUUGCUUUCACCACCUUCAUGGAUAUGAGAACAAAUUUUUCUCAUCUGCUUAUUCUGCUGGAAAAAAUAUUUACAUGCUUGGGGUAGACAUCCUCCCUAAAAAGUUUUCAGUUACUCUCAACCUGAUUUAGCCCACCUGUCAAGAUUGUUUUCCAGGGUGUGAUCAGUCACUAGUGGCACAUAAUGCAGCAUCUUAGAGCCAUUUGUGAGAGCUGGGUGACAGGUGGACACCAAAGGACAAAAGACGCCCUGAGAAGGAUUUGGCAAGCCCAGAGGUCUUUCCUGAACACUCCAUCCAUCUAAAGAAUCCUAGAGGACACUAAAAGAACAGAGAUAUGAAGUUUCAUCUACAGUGUACCUUCCUGUGGCUUUGGAGUCCAAAGGCUGAGGCGCAGAGUUUGUGGCAUGUGGGGCAUGGGACGCCAGUUGUUACAGGAGGUGCAGUUGUGGCCUGGUGUCGGCGUUCACGCGCAGCGGCAAGAUGUUGACGUCGUUCAUCUUCAAAGGUGGCGGCGGCAUGGUGAAUGUGGGUUUGUAGAACAGUAAGUAGCUUGAACUUAUAAUAAUAAAUAAAUCAAGUAAGUAGCA